rnacentral:rRNA from 1 species
UACGUAGGGUGCAAGCGUUGUCCGGAAUUAUUGGGCGUAAAGAGCUCGUAGGCGGUCUGUCGCGUCUGCUGUGAAAAUCCAGGGCUCAACCCUGGACCUGCAGUGGGUACGGGCAGACUAGAGUGCGGUAGGGGAGAUCGGAAUUCCUGGUGUAGCGGUGAAAUGCGCAGAUAUCAGGAGGAACACCGAUGGCGAAGGCAGGUCUCUGGGCAUUAACUGACGCUGAGGGGCGAAAGCAUGGGGAGCGAACAGG